rnacentral:lncRNA from 1 species
GGAACAAAUGGGGGCAGACUGAGCCACGAGCUUGAAGAGCCGGCUCUGCAUGAUUGUAUUAUCCCAAGAGACUCCGGCCCUGUUUCUCCCGCGCACAGAAGGGUUCUGUGCGCACUGAGGUUCAAAUGCAAGAAUAAUUGUGAACACAAAAGUACUAUUCCAAGGCAGAGACCACCGCCAUUCCUUGAACCUCACGGUAACUAUGUGCCAAGGCAACCAAGUUCAGAGAGGUUAAGUCUGAGGUCGCAGAGUGACUAGCAGAGUGGAGGAUUCAAACCGAUGCCAGAGGGUUGGAGGAUUUCACCACCCAUAACCUCCAGCAGCAGUUGGCAGCCCACUCCAGAGAAACACACGCCAGCUGCAUGAACCCGACCGAACUGAAUAGGAUGUGCAAGGACAUGAUAUAUGAGAAGACUUGAGUUCCAGUCCUGACUAUGGCACUGCCAGACACAGCUUUUAAGUUGUCUUCAGCAUUUACAUACUAUUAACCCAUACUUGGCCUCGUCUGAUCCUCAAAAAACUUGGCUUAUUGAAGAAGGUCCCUCCCUGAGGAAAUCCCCAUCAUGACAAGCACUCAGAGAAGUUGGUUGGUACAGAGUUUCUCUGCUGGUUACCCCAGGUGUGGUGUGGACCCCAGAAGGAUGACAGUUUGAAUCCAAGGGCAGUCCCCUUCCUGGCACAGCAAGCAAAAUAAAGUGAAGCCCCUGGAGGCUCAGGCUCCACAGCAAGACCACAGAGAAGACCAGCCCUCUCCCAUUGCCACAAAGACAAGAGAUAGCUUGAAAGAAGACAGCUAAAAGUGGACAAAGAUGAGCUGGGGGGCCCAUAGGAGAGGAUUCAUACCACCCAGCCCCCUGUGGCACCUUCUUCCAGCGUAAAAUCCCGCGAGACUGG